GACGAACGCUGGCGGCGUGCUUAACACAUGCAAGUCGAACGGAAAGGCCCUGCUUUUGUGGGGUGCUCGAGUGGCGAACGGGUGAGUAACACGUGAGUAACCUGCCCUUGACUUUGGGAUAACUUCAGGAAACUGGGGCUAAUACCGGAUAGGAGCUCCUGCUGCAUGGUGGGGGUUGGAAAGUUUCGGCGGUUGGGGAUGGACUCGCGGCUUAUCAGCUUGUUGGUGGGGUAGUGGCUUACCAAGGCUUUGACGGGUAGCCGGCCUGAGAGGGUGACCGGCCACAUUGGGACUGAGAUACGGCCCAGACUCCUACGGGAGGCAGCAGUGGGGAAUAUUGCACAAUGGGCGGAAGCCUGAUGCAGCAGCGCCGCGUGCGGGAUGACGGCCUUCGGGUUGUAAACCGCUUUCGCCUGUGACGAAGCGUGAGUGACGGUAGUGGGUAAAGAAGCACCGGCUAACUACG
rnacentral:rRNA from 1 species